ACUCCUACGGGAGGCAGCAGUGGGGAAGUAUUGCACAAUGGGGAAACCCGGUAGCAUGCAGCCAUGCCGCGUGUGUGAAGAAGGCCUUCGGGUUGUAAAGCACUUUCAGUAGGGAGGAAGGUAGUGUAGUUAACACCUGCAUUAUUUGACGUUACCUACAGAAGAAGCACCGGCUAACUCCGUGCCAGCAGCCGCGGUAAUACGGAGGGUGCGAGCGUUAAUCGGAAUUACUGGGCGUAAAGCGCAUGCAGGCGGCCUGUUAAGUCAGAUGUGAAAGCCGGGCU
rnacentral:rRNA from 1 species